UUCCUUUCUAUUAGGCACUGUUGUUCCUACCUCCAAAAAACGCUCGUACAAAAAUGAGACCGAUAAUAUGGAGAUCAAAACUUCAAGCGGGUGAAGCCAAAUUCAAACAAACAAGGAGAUGCUAAUAAGGUGUAGUCUAGAUUACUGACAACAUCGGCAGUGGUUCAAGGACUUUGACAGCUAUCAAAGAGGUAACGAUUAAAACUUUCAUAUUAUCUUAUAAUAUUUAAGUAAUUUCACUAACCGUAUAUCCUUUUCUGUGCAGCCAAAUGGUGUUCAUAUUUCAU
rnacentral:lncRNA from 1 species